rnacentral:lncRNA from 1 species
UUGUCGGGCACUGGAGUUCUAUUGUCGGGUAUUUUUUAAAAUAAUAUUAAAAAAAAGGAGUUCUUCUGUCUUUUGAGUUCUACGGUCGCCAAACCAAAGUUAAAUUGCGUUUUGGAAUUGGGGUGUCAGAGGUGUCCAAUAGAUGGCAUAGGCGUCGUCGUUUUCAUGUGAUGGCCGAUUGUUGUGUUGAGUGGUUGUCAAAAGUUUUCCUAUUUUUCCAUGAAAAUUACCGAUGAAUUCAUAAGUAAAUUCAAGUUUGUUUCUGUGCAACUUGUUUGUGAUGUGAUUUAUUCUGUUUGUGUGCUGGAUCAAAUUCAAAAUUCCUCAAUCUAACCUGUAGGAAGGAACGGGAAAGGAAACAGUGCAUACAAAGUAGCCUACCAUCACUAUACCAACUCUUUUAUUAAAAAUCGUCGUUCUGCUGAAUGCAUCAUGCAGUUAAUACAGUUUCUAUUGAUCUUUGUAGGUCACUACCCCAGUGUGGACAUGUUUGUUUUUCUGAACAUGUUUUUCAACAAAUAAUUCAUUGACAUGCAAGGAAAGCUUAAAGCUUAUUCAUGGGUAAUCUUCAGGUUAGCAGCAGCAGCUUAAGAGAAGAAUGUGAACAAAUGCAGGGCACAUACCAACAUGUGCUGUAUUUUUCUGAAUGUUAAGCAUGAGCAGUAGAUUCAACAUGACUAACUGUUUCAUGCCAAAGUUAGUUGGAACUCAACUCACUG